GGUAAUUUUCCGAUUGUGCAAAGAUUUGGGGCGCCCAUUUUUUUUGUUAUUCCUUCCCGGUGUUUUAAAGAGAGAAGUCACGAGGCAUUUUAGGAGGAGAGGAAGGAGGAGCAAAUGGGGGGUGUCAGUCACAUUUGGAGGCCAGAGAUGGAGCAGAAUUCCAUGAGCAACAUCUGGAAUUCCAACUGGAUCAUGUGAGGUCAGACACACAGCAGGACACGGCGAAGGGGGAUGGGAGCUGGAUCUGAUCUAUUAAACUAUCAAAACAGUAAACAAUGAGGAAUUGUAAUAGCUUUUUAAAUGCUCUUCUUCUAAGAGGGAUUUAGCAGAGUUUCUUUCCCGUGGACAGUUUUUAUCUCACUCCGCUGUGGCUUACAAACAAGUCCGACAUUUAACUGGGGGAAAUGACUCACUCCUUUUUUACAAAGCCCGACAGAAGACCACACCAGCAUGUCCGGGCCUCUUUUAGCCAUCUGAAAUGGAAGCCAUUUCAACCAGACGCAACCCUGCGGAAUAAAAUGUUGGACUGCUGCAGCAAACUGAAUGUAGUCAUUGCAACAACAUUUCAAAUGCAACAUUUAUUAGAAAGUAGGCUACAAUUAAAAUGACUUUUAACUCAA